rnacentral:tRNA from 1 species
GGGCGUUUAUCUCAGCUGGUUCAGAGCAUCUGCCUUACAAGCAGAGGGUCGGGGGUUCGAAUCCCUCAACACCCA